GCGAUAAGUAUGUGAAUUGCAGAAUUCAGUGAAUCAUCGAAUCUUUGAACGCAUCUUGCGCUCCUUGGUAUUCCGAGGAGCAUGCCUGUUUGAGUGUCAUUAAUCUCUCAACCACACCAAUCUUUUUUGGUUCGGUGUGGCUUUUGGAUGUGGGGGUUUUAUUUUGCUGGCUUCUAUUAAAUGAAGUCAGCUCUCCGUGAAACUUAUUAGCGGUAUCUGAGCAGAGAAACCUACUACCGGGGUGAUAAAUUAUCUAUGUCCUUGGUCAUGCUGCAGGAACAGAGUUGUGCUGCUUCCAGUGAAUCAUUUGACAAAUCUUGACCUCUAACAUCAGGGANGACNACCCNCUGAACUUAA
rnacentral:rRNA from 1 species